rnacentral:rRNA from 1 species
GUGUCAGCAGCCGCGGUAAUACGUAGGGUGCGAGCGUUAAUCGGAAUUACUGGGCGUAAAGCGUGCGCAGGCGGUUUCACAAGCUAGAUGUGAAAGCCCCGGGCUUAACCUGGGAACUGCAUUUAGGACUGUGGAGCUAGAGUGCGGCAGAGGGAGGUGGAAUUCCACGUGUAGCAGUGAAAUGCGUAGAUAUGUGGAGGAACACCGAUGGCGAAGGCAGCCUCCUGGGCCGACACUGACGCUCAUGCACGAAAGCGUGGGGAGCAAACAGGAUUAGAUACCCGUGUAGUCC